UCGCCCUUUUCCGGUUGAUCCUGCCGGACCCGACUGCUAUCGGAUUGAGAUUUAGCCAUGCGAGUCGAACGCUUCCCUGUUGCGGGAGGCGUGGCGUACGGCUCAGUAACACGUAGUCAACCUGCCCUGGAGACAUGGACAACCCCGGGAAACUGGGAUUAAUCCAUGAUAGGUCAUCUCAUCUGGAAGGAGAGAUGGCUUAAAGGGGUGCGAGAGCUUCUUUCUUGUAUCUGCUCCAGGAUGGGACUGCGGCCGAUCAGGCUGUUGGUGGGGUAAUGGCCCACCAAACCUGUAACCGGUACGGGCCUUGAGAGAGGGGGCCCGGAGAUGGACACUGAGAGAAGGGUCCAGGUCCUACGGGGCGCAGCAGGCGCGAAACCUUCGCAAUGCGCGAAAGCGUGACGAGGUUAAUCCGAGUGGUCCCCGCUGAGGGGAUCUUUUGUCGGCUGUAAAAAGGCCGGUGAAUAAGGGGAGGGCAAGUCUGGUGUCAGCCGCCGCGGUAAUACCAGCUCCUCGAGUGGUCGGGGCGAUUAUUGGGCCUAAAGCAUCCGUAGCCUGUUCUGUAGGUCCUCUGUUAAAUCCAACGGCUUAACCGUUGGCCCGCAGAGGAUACCGCAGGACUAGGAGGCGGGAGAGGUGGACGGUACUCCACGUGUAGGGGUAAAAUCCUUUAAUCCGUGGAAGACCACCAGUGGCGAAGGCGGUCCACCAGAACGCGCUCGACGGUGAGGGAUGAAAGCUGGGGGAGCGAACCGGAUUAGAUACCCGGGUAGUCCCAGCCGUAAACGAUGCAAGCUAGAUGAUCCGGUCGCAAAUCGCGAUCGGAGUGUCGCAGGGAAGCCGUUAAGCUUGCCGCCUGGGGAGUACGGUCGCAAGACUGAAACUUAAAGGAAUUGGCGGGGGAGCACCACAAGGGGUGAAGCCUGCGGUUCAAUUGGAGUCAACGCCAGGAAACUUACCAGGAGAGACAGCAGGUUGAGGGUCAAGCUGAAGACUUUACCUGACGAGCUGAGAGGAGGUGCAUGGCCGUCGCCAGCUCGUGCCGUGAGGCGUCCUGUUAAGUCAGGCAACGAGCGAGACCCAAAGGGCGA
rnacentral:rRNA from 2 species